GACGAACGCUGGCGGCGUGCUUAACACAUGCAAGUCGAACGGAAAGGCCCUGCUUUUGUGGGGUGCUCGAGUGGCGAACGGGUGAGUAACACGUGAGUAACCUGCCCUUGACUUUGGGAUAACUUCAGGAAACUGGGGCUAAUACCGGAUAGGAGCUCCUGCUGCAUGGUGGGGGUUGGAAAGUUUCGGCGGUUGGGGAUGGACUCGCGGCUUAUCAGCUUGUUGGUGGGGUAGUGGCUUACCAAGGCUUUGACGGGUAGCCGGCCUGAGAGGGUGACCGGCCACAUUGGGACUGAGCUACGGCCCAGACUCCUACGGGAGGCAGCAGUGGGGAAUAUUGCACAAUGGGCGGAAGCCUGAUGCAGCACCGCCGCGUGCGGGAUGACGGCCUUCGGGUUGUAAACCGCUUUCGCCUGUGACGAAGAGUGAGUGACGGUCAUGGGUAAAGAAGCACCGGCUAACUACGUG
rnacentral:rRNA from 1 species